GUGCCCGUAGCUCAACUGGAAGAGCAACUGCCUUCUAAGUAGUAGGUUGUCGGUUCGACUCCGGCCGGGCACG
rnacentral:tRNA from 1 species